AAUGAAGUGCCUGAUAAAAGGAUUAUUUUGAUAGAAUAAAUCAUGCAUUCCAAUGCCUUCAUUA
rnacentral:tRNA from 1 species